rnacentral:rRNA from 1 species
GAUGAACGCUGGCGGCGUGCCUAAUACAUGCAAGUAGAACGCUGAAGCUUGGUGCUUGCACCGAGCGGAUGAGUUGCGAACGGGUGAGUAACGCGUAGGUAACCUGCCUGGUAGCGGGGGAUAACUAUUGGAAACGAUAGCUAAUACCGCAUAACAGUCGACAUUGCAUGAUGUCGAUUUGAAAGGGGCAAUUGCUCCACUACCAGAUGGACCUGCGUUGUAUUAGCUAGUUGGUGAGGUAACGGCUCACCAAGGCGACGAUACAUAGCCGACCUGAGAGGGUGAUCGGCCACACUGGGACUGAGACACGGCCCAGACUCCUACGGGAGGCAGCAGUAGGGAAUCUUCGGCAAUGGACGGAAGUCUGACCGAGCAACGCCGCGUGAGUGAAGAAGGUUUUCGGAUCGUAAAGCUCUGUUGUAAGAGAAGAACGAGUGUGAGAGUGGAAAGUUCACACUGUGACGGAACUACCAGAAAGG